GCCCGGGUGGCGAAAUCGGUAAUACGCGAGGAGCUUAAACCUCCUUGGUCCUCAGGGGCCGUGUGGGUUCGAAUCCCACCCCGGGCA
rnacentral:tRNA from 1 species